GGAGCAGCAACAUAGUAAAAAAAGCCCUCAUAUAUUAAGUAAAAAAUGUUACAUUACAAGACACCAUCAGAGGAAUACAUGAUAUAGAAUACAUAAUAUAUAUACGAUCUGCACUAACAUUGAUCAUUGCAUGACAUUCUAAAACAUAAUGUAGAGCUUUCUGGUAGUAGCACCACUCUGUGCCUUGAAAUCAACAUCUUGGCCAUGCACCAACCAUUUGUCCUAUCAAUCUACAAGAACAAAAACUGUGAUCACCAACGUACCAUUACGGAAAUAAAAAAACAUGUUAGUAAUGUAAUAAAAUUUAUGAGGGUCAACAUACAUUCUUGUUUGGAUCUCCCAAGCUUUUGGGAAAUACUCCCUCCGUCCCAUAAUAUAAGAGCGUUUUUUACACUAGUGUAGUGUCAAAAACGCUCUUAAAUUAUAGGAUGGACGGAGUACUAUACUGCCAACCUAUUUCACAAACAAAAGUAGAUGACAACAGUUUCCAAUGCAAGCAAUUCAAAUCCUGAUAGUCAUACAUCUAUAGAGUUGGGAUGGACAAAAUUGUGGUAUUGAAUUGUUGUUUAUGCAGGAGAUAUUUUCUGCAACAUUGGAAUAAAGUACAAUUAAGGCUCUAGCAAACUGAGAUAAAGACGAAAAAGAUUGAGAAGGUCUAUGUUACGCACUUUCUUGCAAUAGCACCUUUUGAGAUCCUAAUGUUCUGGCCACAAUGCUAAUAAUAAGACGCAAAAUAACCAGGAAUAGUUGAAGAAGAAAGCUGAAUAUAAAUGUAUACAUGAUGAAUGAGAAUGUAUGAUGUGUGUAGAGGAAACCUGUCACCGUGGGUUUUGUUAUGUCGGUGCUCAAUUUCCUGGUCCUAAUGUGUAAACACAAUUCAUUACAGAAUUCAGAAACUUAUUGAUGGUGUCAUUAUUGAAAUGGAUUCAGCGCUACCAAGAGAUCGUGACUGGGAAUAAACCAAUGCACGCAAAGAGGCAACUACGGAUUGGAUGCGAGUAACUGUAGCUACACAUGGGACUCCAGUACUCUAUCCCAUCAACUGACGAAUGGCGCUAAACUAUCAUUAUAGUUGAUUUUAAAUUACAUGGGAGCGAGGCAAAAGAUCACUAGAGAUUCAAGAACCAUUGCAUUGGCAUCUCGCCAUUAAUUAGGACUCAGCCACGGGGCUACGAAGACUAGAUAUAGAACAGUGAACUCACAAAAGAAUGAGCCUUAUUUUAUAAACUAAAGUAGAUUGCGCAAAAAAAGGUACUAUCACUGUUUCCAGAGUUCAUUCUAUUGUGGAUCAACAUUAAACUUCUUUUGGAAAUCUUCUCAUGGUCUUCGACAUUGUUUCUGAGUUCCAAAAAAGUGAACAAACCUUAUCUGCACUAGUAUUUACUUCCCUUGUUGCAUAGUUUCAUUGUGGAGCAAAGUUUCUUGAACAAAAGAUAUAUAGUCAGAUUGACAAGAAUAGUAACCAACAUUGAUAUUUCAAAAAGUAUGAUCAAUAACAUUGCAGCUUAACUAUGAUGGGUCCCAAACAGAAUAUAAGUGAUCAUACCUUAUCUGUAGCAGGGCUUAUGUUUGAUGCUUGCAACUCCUUAUCAUUCAAAAAAAAUUGCUUGCUCUGUAGUGGAAGAGAAGAUGUAAGUAUUUUCUAUAUAAUACAAACAAGAAUAUACUCAUGCAUUAAUAUAGUAGCAUUUUAUUAUGUUGUCCAAUGGUACCAAGUUGUGGACUAUGACGAUCACCAUAUACUCUCUGCCCAUUACAAGUAAAAUAAAGCUAUGAUCAUCUUUAUUAAAUAGGUUUCAUUUACUAUUACCUGAGUUUGCAAAAAAAAAUGAAAGAAAUGUGAUCAAACCAAAUAAAAAAAACUGAAAACUAGAGACAAUAACUUUACCAAAUGUUCGAGCAUCUUGCAAAAUUUCAACCAAAAAUAACAUCCGAAGAGCCCUCACUGAAAAAAACAAAAUCGAUGUUCAAACUUUUGUUGCACUGUUUGAGCAUUGAUUUUGUUUUUUCUAGUGAGAGCUCCUCGGAUGUUAUUUUUAGCUAAAAAUUUUCAAGAAGCUCGAAUACUUGAUAAGGUUUGACGUCUCAGAUUUUUUGGAGUUGGUUUGAACCCGUUUUUCCAGGUUUUUGUAAACUCGGGUGUAAUACACCUUAGAGUAGUGGCUACUUUCCGUUUUUCUUUAUAAAAUAUUCUCACUCACGUAUUCAUCACUCCAUUACUACAAGCAAGCAAUUUACCUAUUUCACUCAUAUCUACUGCAGGUUGAAAACCAAAAUAAUUGAAAAUUGAUUAAAUCAAACUGCCCUGUAGUUGCCCUAGUGUUGAUUUCUAUUUAUGUGACCAACCACUCUACAUGGCUAAUAGUCGCCGCUCAGAAAAAUUGCAGAUUCAGUCGAUCAGUUUUUCUUUUAAACUAAAAGAGUGUUUUAUGAAAGCCAGCCGGGAAUAAGCUUCAGAGCCAAAAAUGAAGUAUAUGGAGGAAACAAAGCACCAGUUGCUUUUCUAACUUAAUCUCAGUGCAUGCACCGUGUGAAUCUGCAUAUAUCAAAUCAAACUAGCUUCAGUUGGGUACUACUGAUUCUAUCAAUGUCAGUAAUAUACUCUACAUGGCUAAUAGUUACUGUACCACUCAGAAAGUUGCAGAUUCAGCUAACCGUUUUUUUUUUUCAGAACUGCAAGACUGUUUCCUAAAAGCUAUGAAUAAGCUUGAGGCCCAAAAAUCAAGUAUGUAGCAGACAAAGCAUCAGCUGAUUUGUCCAAUUUAAUCUCAGUGCAUGCACCGUGUGAAUCAGUAAUUCCGUAUGUGCAUAUGUUCCGUCAGAUCAAACCUUGUGGAAGCAAAACUAAUGCAUAAUGAGAUGUCAUCAUCCUCACAAAAAUAUUGGUUAAUCAUCCACGCACAUAGUAGCAAGAAAUUUAAAACCAAAUGUAUCACAAGAAAGAACUAUUGAGAAAAGGAGGGGUCAAACAUUAUUCUGAAUUAACACAUACAGACAAGUGGCGAAUCACCCAAUCACACAUCCAAUAAAUCAAGGUCGCGUAUAUCGUCGCCCUGAUGGCCGGCAAACAUUCUACCAUGGCACGAUGGCCUGUCACACAUAGAACUAGAGAGGUUAAGAGAAGAUACGGUGAGUGCCUUACUGAACCAUCAACAUUGGAGUCGAGGUAACCAACGCUAUGAAGCACGGUCGAUCCCGAGACGACAGUCGCGCGUACGGAGCCGUGCUGGCGACCGUUGGCGACUAGGCUUGCUGCGGGAGCGCGGAAGACAUUGCCGAUGCGGAGGAUCCGAGAAGAGCAGUGAUGAGAGCCGGGCCGGUGAGCUGGGGCCCGAAGGGCCUCGCCGCGGUGGAGAAUCAGAGANN
rnacentral:lncRNA from 1 species